rnacentral:lncRNA from 1 species
AUGGCGAGUGUGUUUACAGCAGGAACCGAGAAUCAAACUGCGCUCGCUGUGCAUGGACGAGUGUGUUUAACAGCAAGGAAACCGGAGAAUCAAACUGCGCUCGCUGUGUUUAACGUUACAUACACAGGCCCCUCCCACAACAGUUUGAUUGACAGUAGCGUUUCAGCACAGACUGGACUGGCGUCUUAACUUAGACCCGCCCUGAGUGAGCUGUCAUCAGUCCACCAUUGUUUCACCGCCGGAGCAGAUGUAGACAAGAAUGUCUCCUAAGCGAUUGAGGUGUUUUGUUGUUGGAUGUAAUAAUGAACAUAGCAGUCGUCAUUUACUCCCAACAUCUAAGCCGAUGAAGACGCAGUGGAUUACAUUUGUUUCAUGAAGGGAAUGCGCCCCCGAUCUACCUAAUUGCGUCUAUCUUCGCGUGAAUCAUUCGUGGUUCAGCUUCACCUACAGAAAAAGUGAGUAUUUUUAAUGAAUCUUUGCAAAUCGCCUUUCCUAAUGAUGUACUAAUUAGCAAGUUUCACGAUGAAUGCAGCUAAAGUAAACAGUCUCUCUGAGAGCAGCUAGGAAGAGAGGGGCGGGGUCAGCAGAGCUAAUUAACAUUUAAAGAAAAAUGCUACAAAACGGCUUGCUCUGAAAAAAACUGUUUUUGACAAAAAAUAUUUUUUACACUACCAUUGUGAUAUUUUAACCAAACAAACAGACUUUUCAUUAAGACCCUAAAGAAUCAUAUCAACUUGUGGGAAAUGGGCAUCUGAUGACCCCUUUAAACUUGCUGUUAUCACCUACAGAGCCAAGGCUAAAUUCCUUUUCAUUGCAGAACAUUAUUAUCAGGGUGUUUCAGAAAUGAUAAUUGUCACAACCAGGCAAAACAACUGUUAUGGGCUGUUGAUUACAAUUGCAUAUUGUGACAGGAGGACAUCACGCAAGGAGUUUAACACCUCUGCUUUUCAAAACAUCGAUCUUCAGCUUUGUUGACAGAUCUUUGUUCACACUCUUUUUCAUGAAUCCGUAAUGCAUUGAGAGCGCUCUGCGAAAGACGUUAUGUCAGCUAACCUACAAUGUGUUUAAUUUGGUUCCAUCUAAAUGAACUUAAAAAUUCUGUCAUAAUUUACUCACCCUCAAGUCUUUUGAAACCCAUUUCUUUCUUCCCUGGAACACAAAAGGAGUUAUUUAUAGCAUAAUGUCCUUCUGCUCUCUUCCAUAUAAUGAAAGUGAAUGUUGGCCACAGCUGUUUCUAACACAAAGUUAUUGUAUGGCUUCAGAAAACUUGAAAUAUAGCAUGCAUGUCAUAUGGACUACUUUUAUGAUAGUUUUAUGGUGAUAAUUUUUGGUGCUUGACAGCACCUGAUCACCAUUCACUUUCAAACUAUGGAGGAAAACAGCUCUGACGUUUUGCUUUAGUGUUAAAAAGAAAGACAUGCACUUUUGGAAGGGUGAGUACAUAAUGACAGAAUUUAAAUUUUGGAGUGUUUUAUGGUGCAGAUUAGUUUUUGUUUAAUAGCAAAUGAGUGUUUAUGGUGCAGAUUAGUUUUGUUUAAUAGCAAAUGAGCCAUCCAACCAUCUAGAAUUACAGCAUAUUAAUGUGGUAAUGAAUUAUGUCUAAAGUUUAGGCAUUCGAUAUUCAGUUUGUGAAGGGACACUGCGGGAUGUCGUCUACCCUGUUGUGUUUUUCAAACCUGAAGAAGGCAGAAAUAUAAUUUCCCUGUCAAAUCCUGAGCUUUUAAAAGCAGCUAAUUUAGAGCUUUGUAGAUCAAUAUCAAUAAUACUGUAAGAUAAUGUGAAGGUUUCCUUUGCAGCAAAAGACUUAGAGUAAUCAGCUUUUCCUUUGUGCGGAGCUGCUGUAUUCUGCACAGUUUGUCAAGGGGGUUGACAGCCUAAUUGAAGCGGAUUGUGGUAAUCAAGUAAAGGAAUGACUUUUGGCAUUAUGGAACAUUAAGAGAUAUCUGAUUUGUUCCAGAAAUUAUUGAUCCACGAUAAGAAUAGUUCAUAAUUGGUGCUUUUUGCGGUGUUGAGAUGCCUUUACAAGUCACCAUUCUCUACAGUAAAGAGCUCAAAUGAGCCUCGGACAUGAUAAAUGGAAAUGGAAUGGCUUUCAGGAACCAAAAAUGUGAUCUGCAUGGGAUAGCAGAAACUAUUGACCUUUUUAUCUACCAAUUUGGACUUCUUUCUAGUAAUUCUGAGAAUUGUAAAGGUGUAAUUCUGAGAAGGAAAGUCAAAAUUGAAAGAUAAAAUCUGGCAAUUGUGAGAAGAAAAAAAAAGUCAGAUAAAAGGAAAUUACCUUUAUUAUUUUUAUUUUGUGGUGGAAACAAUAAAAAUAGGAUUGCAAGAUGUAAACUCAGAAUUCUGAGAAAAUAAGUCAGAAUUGGGGGGAAAAAACAAGCCGGAUUUGAGGGGGAAAAAAA